rnacentral:sRNA from 1 species
AUCCCUCACUGCUAAGCUAUCCCUCGCUGCUAAGCUAUCGCUGCCAACCUAUCUAUCGCUGCCAACCUAUCUAUCGCUGCCAAUUUAUCUACCACUGCCAAUCUAUCUAUUGCUGCUAAUCUAUCGCCGCUGCCAAUCUAUCCCUCGCUGCUAAGCUAUCGCUGCCAACCUAUCUAUCGCUGCCAACCUAUCUAUCGCUGCCAAUUUAUCUACCACUGCCAAUCUAUCUAUUGCUGCUAAUCUAUCGCUGCUGCCAAUCUAUCCCUCACUGCUAAGCUAUCCCUCGCUGCUAAGCUAUCACUGCCAAUCUAUCUAUCGCUGCCAACCUAUCUAUCGCUGCCAAUUUAUCUACCACUGCCAAUCUAUCUAUUGCUGCUAAUCUAUCGCCGCUGCCAAUCUAUCCCUCGCUGCUAAGCUAUCGCUGCCAACCUAUCUAUCGCUGCCAACCUAUCUAUCGCUGCCAAUUUAUCUACCACUGCCAAUCUAUCUAUUGCUGCUAAUCUAUCGCCGCUGCCAAUCUAUCCCUCACUGCUAAGCUAUCCCUCGCUGCUAAGCUAUCACUGCCAAUCUAUCGCUGCUAAUCUAUCGCUGCCAACCUAUCUACCGCGGCGAAUCUAUCUAUCGCUGCCAAUUUAUCUACCACUGCCAAUCUAUCUAUCGCUGCCAAUCUAUUGCUGCUAAUCUAUCGCUGCUAAUCUAUCGCUGCUGCCAAUCUAUCUUUCGCUGCUAAUCUAUCGCCGCUGCCAAUCUAUCCCUCGCUGCUAAGCUAUCCCUCGCUGCUAAGCUAUCCCUCACUGCUAAGCUAUCUCUCGCUGCUAAGCUAUCCCUCACUGCUAAGCUAUCCCUCGCUGCUAAGCUAUCCCUCACUACUAAGCUAUCUAUCACUGCUAAUCUAUCGCUGCCAACCUAUCUAUCACUGCCAAUCUAUCUAUCGCUGCUAAUCUAUCGCUGCUAAUCUAUCGCUGCUAAUCUAUCGCUGCUAAUCUAUCGCUGCUAAUCUAUCGCUGCCA